rnacentral:rRNA from 1 species
AUUGAACGCUGGCGGCAGGCCUAACACAUGCAAGUCGAGCGAGCGGCGGACGGGUGAGUAAUAUCAGGGAACCUGCCUGAUGGAGGGGGCUAACUACUGGAAACGGUAGCUAAUACCGCAUACAAUCAGAUCUGCGCAGAUGGGAUUAGUUAGUAGGUGGGGUAACGGCCACACAAGGCGACGAUCCCUAGUUGGUCUGAGAGGAUGACCAGCCACACUGGAACUGAGACACGGUCCAGACUCCUACGGGAGGCAGCAGUGGGGAAUAUUGCACAAUGGGCGCAAGCCUGAUGCAGCCAUGCCGCGUGUGUGAAGAAGGCCUUCGGGUUGUAAAGCACUUUCAGCGGGGAGGCGUUACCCGCAGAAGAAGCACCGGCUAACUCCGUGCCAGCAGCCGCGGUAAUAC